rnacentral:misc_RNA from 1 species
CCUCCUUAUACGAUUUAGAACUUAUUUGUUCGUAGUGUCCACACAGACGAUUGUUAGUUAGUUUUACCCUCUGGGUUAACUAAUUAAUAUGCUCUUUAAAAAUUUGGAAAAGCUGAUAAUAAAAUUCGUAUGAAUAACAUUGUUAUUUGUACAGAGUUUUCAAAAGUAAAAAAGAAUGAUAGCAGUAUCAUUCAGUGCCAAUUUAAUCAUUUAUGAUUAAUUGGUAUCUACUUUAGUAUUCAAUAUUAACUUCUGGCGAAGUUAAACUGUCACUAACAAAGACCCGUUUGGGUUGUAUGGUUANGUGAUUAGGCGUACACCGGUGGGAUGCCU